AGAGUUUGAUCAUGGCUCAGAGGAACGCUGGCGCAGGCCUAACACAUGCAAGUCGAGCGCCGUAGCAAUACGGAGCGGCAGACGGGAGAGUAACACGUGGGAACGUGCCCUUUGGUUCGGAACAACACAGGGAAACUUGUGCUAAUACCGGAUAAGCCCUUACGGGGAAAGAUUUAUCGCCAAAGGAUCGGCCCGCGUCUGAUUAGCUUGUUGGUGAGGUAACGGCUCACCAAGGCGACGAUCAGUAGCUGGUCUGAGAGGAUGAUCAGCCUCACUGGGACUGAGACACGGCCCAGACUCCUACGGGAGGCAGCAGUGGGGAAUAUUGGACAAUGGGCGCAAGCCUGAUCCAGCCAUGCCGCGUGGAUGAUGAAGGCCCUAGGGUUGUAAAGUCCUUUCGGCGGGGAAGAUAAUGACGGUACCCGCAGAAGAAGCCCCGGCUACUUCGUGCCAGCAGCCGCGGUAAUACGAAGGGGGCUACGUUGCUCGGAAUCACUGGGCGUAAAGCGCACGUAGGCGGCUUUUUAAGUCAGGGGUGAAAUCCUGGAGCUCAACUCCAGAACUGCCUUUGAUACUGAGAAGCUUGAGUCCGGGAGAGGUGAGUGGAACUGCGAGUGUAGAGGUGAAAUUCGUAGAUAUUCGCAAGAACACCAGUGGCGAAGGCGGCUCACUGGCCCGGUACUGACGCUGAGGUGCGAAAGCGUGGGGAGCAAACAGGAUUAGAUACCCUAGUAGUCC
rnacentral:rRNA from 1 species